rnacentral:tRNA from 1 species
AGGGGUAUAGUUAAUAAUAACAUUUAAAUUGCAUUUAAAAAGUAUUGAAAUCUACUUCAAUUAUCCUU